GCCUAAUACAUGCAAGUCGAACGGCAGCAGGCCCCGAGCAAUCGGGGUGCUGGCGAGUGGCGCACGGGUGCAUAACACGUAUGUAAUUUGCCCAUAACUGGGGGAUAGCCUUCCGAAAGGAAGAUUAAUACCCCAUAACCCAGCGAGGUGGCAUCACUUUUCUGGUAAAACUCCGGUGGUUAUGGAUAAGCAUGCGUCUGAUUAGCUAGUUGGCGAGGUAACGGCUCACCAAGGCAACGAUCAGUAGGGGGUCUGAGAGGAUGAUCCCCCACACGGGUACUGAGACACGGACCCGACUCCUACGGGAGGCAGCAGUAAGGAAUAUUGGACAAUGGAGGCAACUCUGAUCCAGCCAUGCCGCGUGAAGGAUGAAGGCGCUACGCGUUGUAAACUUCUUUUCUACUAGAAAAAACAUUUGGUUUCGUACCGAAUCUGAUUGUACAGUAGGAAUAAGCAUCGGCUAACUAUGUGCCAGCAGCCGCGGUAAUACAUAGGAUGCAAGCGUUAUCCGGAUUUACUGGGUUUAAAGGGUGUGCAGGUGGGGUAAUAAGUCAGUGGUGAAAGCCCCCGACUCAAUCGGGGAACUGCCAUAGAUACUGUUAUUCUUGAGUGUGGUUGAGGCGGAUGGAAUAUGACAUGUAGCGGUGAAAUGCUUAGAUAUGUCAUAGAACACCGAUCGCGAAGGCAGUCCGCCAAACCAUUACUGACACUGAAACACGAAAGUGCGGGGAUCAAACAGGAUUAGAUACCCUGGUAGUCCGCACCGUAAACGAUGAUCACUCGUUGUUGGCGAUACACAGUCAGCGACUAAGCGAAAGCAUUAAGUGAUCCACCUGGGAAGUACGACCGCAAGGUUGAAACUCAAAGGAAUUGACGGGGGCCCGCACAAGCGGAGGAGCAUGUGGUUUAAUUCGACGCAACGCGAAGAACCUUACCCAGGCUCGAACGGUAGAUGACAUCCUACGAAAGUGGGCUCCCGCAAGGGCAUCUGCCGAGGUGCUGCAUGGUUGUCGUCAGCUCGUGUCGUGAGAUGUUGGGUUAAGUCCCGCAACGAGCGCAACCCUUGUCUUCUGUUGCCAUCGGGUCAAGCCGGGCACUCUGAAGAGACUGCCGGUGACAAACCGGAGGAAGGUGGGGAUGACGUCAAGUCCUCAUGGCCUCUAUGUCCCGGGCCACACACGUGCUACAAUGGGCGGUGCAAAGGGCUGCAAGACCGCGAGGUGGAGCAAAUCCCAUAAAGCCGCCCCCAGUUCGGAUUGGAGUCUGCAACUCGACUCCAUGAAGGUGGAAUCGCUAGUAAUCGCGGAUCAGCACGCCGCGGUGAAUACGUUCCCGGGCCUUGCACACACCGCCCGUCAC
rnacentral:rRNA from 1 species